GGAUGAUGAAAAGGUUGGUAGCUCUAUAAGAAGCCUGGGAUGGCACAUUGAGCCCUAGGUGGUCCUGGCAGACGAAGAAAACAAACCAUUCUGAAUCAGCUUGUAUAUCUCCAUCAUUUCAUCACUUCCAUCAUGAAGUUGUUGGUUUUGUGUGUCCUGGUUUUCUCUGAGAUGGCAUGGGCCGGAGCUGAUCCUGUUCCAGAUGAUGGCUCUGCUGAUGAAGAAUCAAUGGACUUGAUACAGAGAUCUGCUUCUUGUCAUUCUGGCUGGUCUGAGUACAACGGUAACUGCUACUAGGGAUGGG